AGUCACUGACAUUAGAUACCCCCGUAGUCCAGGGUGUAAACGCUGCAGACUUGGUGUUGGGAACCCUUCGGGGGUGCUCAGUGCCGGAGAGAAGUUGUUAAGUCUGCUACUUGGGGAGUACGUCCGCAAGGAUGAAACUUAAAGGAAUUGGCGGGGGAGCACCGCAACGGGAGGAGCGUGCGGUUUAAUUGGAUUCAACGACCGAAAAACUCACCAGCAGCGACUGUUACAUGAAAGUCAGGUUGGUGACCUUACUAGAUUUUCAG
rnacentral:rRNA from 1 species